GCCGCCGCAAAGAUCCGGCAAAUAACCGCUGAAUUGGCGGGGACCACUGCCGGUUCAAAUGGCUUCGACCCGGUUGAUAGGAUCAGAACCGGGUUCACUCAUUUCAAGAAAUCCAAAUUCGAGACGAAUCCUGAUUUGUAUGGUCAACUUGCAAAAGGCCAAAGCCCUAAGUUUCUCGUAUUUGCGUGUUCGGAUUCCCGAGUUUGCCCUUCGCACAUAUUGAAUUUUCAACCAGGGGAGGCCUUUGUGGUUCGUAACAUCGCCAGCAUGGUCCCACCAUUUGACAAGACAAAAUAUUCUGGAGCGGGGGCUGCAAUUGAAUAUGCUGUAUUACAUCUUAAGGUGGAGAAUAUAGUGGUGAUUGGACAUAGCUGCUGUGGGGGCAUUAAAGGCCUCAUGUCUAUCCCAGACGAUGGAACCGUUUCCAGUGAUUUCAUUGAGAAUUGGGUGCAAAUUUGCACACCUGCCAAAACCAAGACCCAAUCAGCUUGCACCGACUUGAGUUUCGAGGACAAAUGCACAAACUGCGAGAAGGAGG
rnacentral:misc_RNA from 1 species